GAGGAUAUAAUAUGGAUGAGAAACUACAAACCAAAAGGAAUAGAGGAGCAAUGGGGAACAACUGAAAACACAGUCAAAUCACACCCAAAACCCUCUAAUUCAAUCCUCUUCUUGACUCCAUUAUUCACAAUUUUUUUUGAAGUUUUUUUUAAUUUUUCUCAUUUUUUUGAUUUUUUUUUCUUUUUUUUUCAUCUUUUCUCUUUUCUUUUCUCUCUUUUCAGAACACAACUCUAAGAGACAAGAUACACAACAUAUUUAC
rnacentral:lncRNA from 1 species